GAUGAACGCUAGCGACAGGCUUAACACAUGCAAGUCGAGGGGCAGCGGGGAGUAGCAAUACUCUGCCGGCGACCGGCGCACGGGUGAGUAACGCGUAUGCAACCUACCUACAACAGGGGCAUAACCCGGCGAAAGUCGGACUAAUACCCCACAAAACAGGGGUCCCGCCUGGGAAUAUUUGUUAAAGAUUUAUCGGUUGUAGAUGGGCCCGCGUAACAUUAGGUAGUUGGUGAGGUAACGGCCCACCAAGCCGACGAUGUUUAGGGGUUCUGAGAGGAAGGUCCCCCACGCUGGAACUGAGACACGGUCCAGACUCCUACGGGAGGCAGCAGUGAGGAAUAUUGGUCAAUGGUCGAGAGACUGAACCAGCCAAGUCGCGUGAAGGAAGACUGCCCUAUGGGUUGUAAACUUCUUUUAUAGGGGAAUAAAGAUCGGGACGUGUCCUGAGUUGUAUGUACCCUAUGAAUAAGCAUCGGCUAACUCCGUGCCAGCCGCCGCGGUAAGAC
rnacentral:rRNA from 1 species